UACGAAGGGUGCAAACGUUGCUCGGAAUUAUUGGGCGUAAAGCGCACGUAGGCGGCUUGGCAAGUCGGAUGUGAAAUCCCUCGGCUCAACCAAGGAAGUGCAUCCGAAACUGCUAAGCUUGAGUACUUAAGAGGAUCGCGGAAUUCCCGGUGUAGAGGUGAAAUUCGUAGAUAUUCGCAAGAACACCAGUGGCGAAGGCGGCUCACUGGCCCGAUACUGACGCUGAGGCACGAAAGCGUGGGGAGCAAACAGG
rnacentral:rRNA from 1 species